rnacentral:rRNA from 1 species
CAGCACCUCAAGUGGUCAGGAUGAUUAUUGGGCCUAAAGCAUCCGUAGCCUGCUUUGUCAGUUUUCGGUUAAAUCUGUAUGCUCAAAAUACAGGCUGCCGGGAAUACUGCAGAGCUAGGGAGUGGGAGAGGUAGACGGUACUCGGUAGGAAGGGGUAAAAUCCUUUGAUCUAUUGAUGACCACCUGUGGCGAAGGCGGUCUACCAGAACACGUCCGACGGUGAGGGAUGAAAGCUGGGGGAGCAAACCGGAUUAGAGACCCGAGUAGUCC